rnacentral:tRNA from 1 species
GCCCGGGUGGUGAAAUGGUAGACACUAGGGACUUAAAAUCCCUCGCCGCAAGGCAUGCCGGUUCGAGUCCGGCCCUGGGCACCA